AUGCUAGAGCUGUGGUGCAAUCAGCAUGUCGAGUAUUUGACGAAAGGGCUCGAUGCCGAUCGACCUUGGUUAUUAUGCUAUUGGAUGGUUCAUGGACUCGCGUUGCUGGAUGAAACGCUUGGCGAUGACCUCGAGAACGAUAUUGUAGACUUCUUUUCUCGAUGCCAGGUCAAGCAUUCAGCGGCGACAUCAGAGGAGACAUCGUCACACGGAACCCCUUCUCUGGACAAGCAAAAGCUCUGGCCGCCAUGGAUGCCAAUGAGAUUCUCGACCAAGGUUCACCUGGGCCUGCAUCCUCCAAAAACAAGAUGCAUCCACCUAUCAAGAUACGAAAUCUACUCGCCAGGAGGAGCAUGA
rnacentral:rRNA from 1 species